rnacentral:lncRNA from 1 species
AGAAGACCGUGAAAUCUGAUGUCAUACUUUCACAGGAUAUAAAUUGCAAAUGAUAUUCUAAAGUAGAUUCGCCCCAGUACCUCUCUGCUCCGGGCUUGUGCUCCCCCCAGCCCUGCAGAACACGGUCUAUCAUUCAUGACGCUCCACAGAAGAUAUCAAAAUGUCACAGA